UACAGAGGGUGCGAGCGUUGUCCGGAAUCACUGGGCGUAAAGGGCGCGUAGGCGGCCUGAUAAGUAGGGGGUGAAAUCCUGUGGCUUAACUGCAGGGCUGCCUCCUAGACUGUUAGGCUCGAGCACGGUAGAGGCAGAUGGAAUUCCCGGUGUAGCGGUGAAAUGCGUAGAUAUCUGGAGGAACACCGGUGGCGAAGGCGGCAUCCUGGACCAACACUGACACUGAGGAGCGAAAGCCAGGGGAGCAAACGGG
rnacentral:rRNA from 1 species